rnacentral:hammerhead_ribozyme from 1 species
GUAUUGCUGAAGAGUCCUAUUCUAGGAUGAAACAGCUGUCUAGUAC